CCUACGGGAGGCUGCAGUGAGGAAUAUUGGUCAAUGGGCGAACGCCUGAACCAGCAAAGUCGCGUGAGGGAAGACUGCCCUAUGGGUUGUAAACCUCUUUUGUCAGGGAGCAACGCCGGCUACGUGUAGACGGACUGAGAGUAACUGAAGAAAAAGCAUCGGCAAACUUCGUGCCAGCAGCCGCGGUAAUACGGAGGAUGCGAGGGUUAUCCGGAUUACUUGGGUUAAAAGGGUGCGUAGGCGGUAUGCCAAGUCAGCGGUAAAAUCGCGGGGCUCAACCUCGCUCCGCCGUUGAAACUGGCGUUCUUGAGUGGGCGAGAAGUAUGCGGAAUGCGUGGUGUAGCGGUGAAAUGCAUAGAUAUCACGCAGAACUCCGAUUGCGAAGGCAGCAUACCGGCGCCCAACUGACGCUGAAGCACGAAAGCGUGGGUAUCGAACAGGAUUAGAUACCCCUGUAGUC
rnacentral:rRNA from 1 species